GGGCGAACUGGGAAUCGGUGAUCCCAAGGGCCUGUAAAGCCCCCGCUUCGGCUGUGGAGGUUCGAAUCCUCCUUCGCCCA
rnacentral:tRNA from 4 species